CUUGGUAACCGGAGAGACUAAGAUGGCAACCAACCAAAAAUUAAAGCCCUCAGAUCAGCAUGCCUGAGAACAAAAAUGGAUAGAGAUGAGAAGAAACUGUAGUCACAGAACGUCAGAAGAGUGAGACCAGAUCACACAGAGUCAUGGCUCUCCUAGGACCAGGGCUGUUACCAUGAAGUUAAGGAAGUGUACCUCCAACACCACUUACACGCUACUUCCAAGACCCUCAGG